UACAGAGGUCUCAAGCGUUGUUCGGAUUCAUUGGGCGUAAAGGGUGCGUAGGUGGCGGGGUAAGUCAGGUGUGAAAUCUCGAGGCUCAACCUCGAAACUGCACUUGAUACUGCCUUGCUCGAGUACUGGAGAGGAGAUUGGAAUUUACGGUGUAGCAGUGAAAUGCGUAGAUAUCGGAAGGAAGACCAGUGGCGAAGGCGAAUCUCUGGACAGUUACUGACACUGAGGCACGAAGGCCAGGGGAGCAAACGGG
rnacentral:rRNA from 1 species